rnacentral:tRNA from 1 species
GCCGAAAUAGCUCAGUUACUAGAGCGUUAUACUGACAAUCUAAUGGUCCCUAGUUUGAUCCCGGGUUUCGUCA